AACUUUCAGCAAUGGAUCACUUGGCUCUCGCAUCGAUGAAGAACGCAGCGAAAUGCGAUAAGUAAUGUGAAUUGCAGAAUUCAGUGAAUAAUCGAAUCUUUGAACGCACCUGGCGCUCCUUGGUAUUCCGAGGAGCAUGCCUGUUUGAGUGUCAUUAAUAUAUCAACUUUCUCUUGUUGAGUUGUUUGGAUGUGGGGUUUUGCUGUCCUCUUUAAAAGGUUUUCAGAUCCCCUGAAAUGCAUUAGCAGAAACAGCCCUGUUCAUUGGUGUGAUAACUAUCUACGCUAUUGAAUGUGAAGGGCAGUUUGGCUUUCUAACGGUCCUUGGACAGCUCAUCAUUAAUGUGACCUCAAAUCAGGUAGGACUACCCGCUGAACUUAAGCAUAUCAAUAAGCGGAGGCU
rnacentral:misc_RNA from 1 species